AGCGGCCGGCACGUAACACCCCAUCAGGCCACGCGUGCACCUCCACCCCAUUCGUCUCCACCGCUAGGAUAUCCAUAUCCAUUCGUCUCCACCGAGAUGCAUCUGCAUCCAGCUCCAUUGUCUCUCGCUCAAUCUCUCGUUCCCGUGCUUCCACCGAAUGCAGGUGCCCGGAUGUGAAGUCGCUGGCGCCCCGCGUUCCACCGGAGUGCCGCUGCUGUCUCCCCCCGUUCCACCGGAGGAGUGAGCGCCGCUGCCGGAUCCCGUCCCCUCCCCCCCCGUUCCACCGGAGGAGGAGCUAAUGAGUCGCUGGCACCCCAUUCCAGACCACCACCACCAGAUCCGGAGUGCCGCCGCCGGAUCCUGUCCCCGUCAGGCCUGCAUCAACGACCGCCGCACGAACCCUUCGUCCCCGUCAACGACUCCCGGCAAGAACCGGGACAGCGUCGCGCGCCCAUCCCCGUCUCGAACGCUCCAGUGCCGUUGCGGUCCGUGCUGUCGUAAUUUCAUUAUCAUUCAAAAUAUAUUAUGAUGCGAAUAUGUGUGGAUUUGACCACUUCGUUGCCUUCUCGUCAUGUUGGGUUGCCUCUGAUUCUCAUGUCUGGUGAGAAUUUUCUGUAAGUGAUGGUCAGGAUUUGUUCCUUGGUCA